rnacentral:lncRNA from 1 species
GCACCCUGCUCCCCGGCGCGUACCCAGGGGCCACGAUUUUGGCUGGGCGAAAGCGGCCCGCUCCCGCCUCUCCUUGAGUGCGCUGAUUACAUCUACCGGAGACACCUUCCCUUCCCUUGGGGAUCCCAACUCUCAGCUCUUCAGAAAGCAAUGACAAGGCAUCUGACUCAUCCUCCUGCACCUCUUUUCAAUUACUGACUUAAACCAGAUUACAGUUGCUGUCAGGCUUGAAGACUGAGACUUACUGAUACGUGUAUCCUAGAAGUACCUGACACAGUAACACACUGCCUUACCUUGGGAGAGAGAAAAGGAGCUGCUUACAGAAGAUGCUCCCUGGGGCAGCAGAGGCCAGAGCCAUCAGAAGCAGUCCCAAUGGCCAGGGACGGUGGCCAGAUAACAGGGCAGCCUGGGAUGCACAGAGCGGCUAAGAAGACGCUGGCACUUGCACAGGGUAUUCUGCUGCCACCUUGAUGCAGCUGAGCUUGGUUUGGAAGACAGUCCGGAGGCAAGUGAUAAACAGUAGGAGGAGCAACGGGAGAAUUUCUUUCCCCCU